rnacentral:rRNA from 1 species
GAUGAACGCUGACAGAAUGCUUAACACAUGCAAGUCAACUGUGGCGGACGGGAGAGUAACGCGUAAAGAACUUGCCUCACCGUUAGGUACAACAUUUGGAAACGAAUGCUAAUACCUGAUACUGUGCUAGAGCUUUGCGUCCCAUUAGCUAGUUGGAGAGGUAACGGCUCACCAAGGCGAUGAUGGGUAGCCGGCCGGAGAGGGUGAUCGGCCACAAGGGGACUGAGAGACGGCCCUUACUCCUACGGGAGGCAGCAGUGGGGAAUAUUGGACAAUGGACCAAAGUCUGAUCCAGCAAUUCGGUGUGCACGAUGAAGUUUUCGGAAUGUAAAGUUCUUUCAGUUGGGAAGCGGUACCAACAGAAGAAGGGACGGCUAAAUACGUGCCAGCAGCCGCGGUAAUAC